rnacentral:tRNA from 3 species
GCGCCCGUAGCUCAGCUGGAUAGAGUACUCGGCUACGAACCGAGCGGUCGGAGGUUCGAAUCCUUCCGGGCGCGCCA